AUGAAUUGUCUAAGUUGGAACUGCCGGGGAGGGAAUACCCGGACAGCUCGAGAAUUGGCGAGGUUGUGUCGGUCACAUUCCCCCAUGUUUGUGUUUUUAUGUGAAACGAGGCAGAAAGAAGGAAAGAUGAAAAGAUUGAGGAGUCGUUUGGGUCUGAAAGGGUUUUGUGGAGUCGAUAGUUCUGGAAUGAGUGGUGGCCUGGCGGUCUAUUGGCAUGAAAACUGUAUGGUGGAGAUUUUGGACAAAGAUGAAUGCCAUAUCGAUGCGUUGGUUCGUGUACAUGAGGGUGCAGUUCAGAGGCGAGUUACAUUUGUGUAUGGGGAACCAUGA
rnacentral:rRNA from 1 species